rnacentral:rRNA from 1 species
AAUAUUAGGCUUCACAGCCCUAUUCUCACCCUUUGUAUACUAAACUUUGUUGCCUUGGCAGGCUGCAUAAGCCUGCCAGUGGACCCAAACCCUAGAAUUUCUGCUGUCUGAGUACUAGAUAAUAGUUAAAACUUUCAACAACGGAUCUCUUGGUUCUGGCAUCGAUGAAGAACGCAGCGAAAUGCGAUAAGUAAUGUGAAUUGCAGAAUUCAGUGAAUCAUCGAAUCUUUGAACGCACAUUGCGCCCUCUGGUAUUCCGGGGGGCAUGCCUGUUCGAGCGUCAUUACAACCCUCACGCUCAGCGUGGUGUUGGGCUCGCCCUGUAGGGCCUGCCUCAAAGUCAGUGGCGGCACCGUAUCGACCCCUAAGCGUAGUAAUACUCGUCGCUUCUGGGCGUUGGGCGGCGGCCUGCUAAGAACCCC